GGUUAACUGGAGAUAAGUCUCUCCAAUUUUCCUGCCCAGACUGGCUUUGAACUGUGAUUCUCAGAUCUCAGCCUCCUGAGUAGUAGUACAGUUGUGGGCCACCAGUGCCUGGCUUUUGUGUAAUUUUUAAUGUUGCUUCCAUUUACUCUGAAAGUAACUGAAAUAAGCUAAUAAAACAUUCUGUUCAAUCUAUGACUCAAUCAACUGAUGGCAGAACUGAGACUGUGAUACAAUUAGACCUAUAUCUAACCUCUCCCCAUAGCCACUACAUAAAGGGCCAAUUUCCAUGCACUCAGCAGCAGCCAAAUGCACCAGGAGGCAACAAGAAACUCAUU